CCCUGCAUGUGACUUGCACAGCCUUCCAUAAACACUUCCUGUAAAGAGAGCCCUAUUUAGGCUUUCUUUAUUGCAAGUUCUGUUUAAUUAAGAUUUUCUUAUCCCCUGCUAUGUUAAUAGCUUGCUAGACCCUGCAAGAGCCUCCUGUAUGUGAUUAAAGUUCAAUUUAGAGAUUGAGAUACAAUUAUUUAAGGUAAAUUACAUCUGUUUGAAAGUGAAACCAUUUUUUUUUCAUGCAGGCUCUGUCAAUCAUAGCCAGAGGAGGUGUGGCUAGGGCUGCAUUAAC